UACAGGGGGUGCAAACGUUGCUCGGAAUCAUUGGGCGUAAAGCGCACGUAGGCGGUCUGUUAUGUCGGAUGUGAAAGCCCUUGGCUUAACUGAGGAAGUGCACCCGAAACUGGCAGGCUAGAGUACUAAAGAGGGUCGCGGAAUUCCCGGUGUAGAGGUGAAAUUCGUAGAUAUCGGGAGGAACACCGGUGGCGAAGGCGGCGACCUGGGUAGAUACUGACGCUGAGGUGCGAAAGCGUGGGGAGCGAACAGG
rnacentral:rRNA from 1 species